rnacentral:rRNA from 1 species
GGGAUAAGCGCUGAAAGCAUCUAAGUGCGAAGCCCCCCACAAGAAAAGAUUUCCUCCAGUAAUGGUAAGACUCGUGAGAGACUAUCACGUUGAUAGGCCUCAGGUGUAAGUGCAGUAAUGUAUUUAGCUGAGAGGUACUAAUAGGUCGAAUGCUUGACCAAU